rnacentral:sRNA from 1 species
CGUCCAUUGUGACGUCAGUAGCUAAUUAAAAUUCUUGUGUAUCUAGCAAAGAGAACUGAAAGUUUUCAAAGUGGUUUGUGCUAAAGAUGUCGAGUAUGGAAGCAAGCAACAUUCUGUUGGAAUUACGUAAUAACAAGCAGCUGUGUGAUGCCGUCAUCAAGGUGGAAAACACGGAGUUUCCGAUUCACCGAAACAUCAUGUCGGCAUGUAGUCCCUACUUCAGGACCCUUUUUACGACAGAAGUCGACAAAAAUACACAGAAAGUGGUGAUACCGGGGGUUUCGGCCGACAUCAUGGGUCUCAUAAUCGAUUUUGCUUACAUCGCGGAUGCCGCUGUGACGUCAGAUAACAUUGAACGUCUGCUACCGGUCGCCGAUCAGUUUCACGUUUUAGGCCUCAUGAAACUGUGCUGUAGUUUUCUUGAAUCUCAUCUGACUGCGCCGAACUGUAUCGGUGUUCGUCGAAUUGCAAAAACGUACGGUUGUUCAAACUUAGAAAAGGCUGCCUUUCGAUUUCUUAUGGUCAACUUUGCAGAAGUGAGCGAAAUUAGCGACGAAUUCGUCCAGCUAGGCAUUGAGGAAGUUUGUGACAUCCUGAUUGAUGACAGGUUGAAUGUAAGAAAUGAAGAUUUAGUCUUUAAUGCAGUCUUGAGAUGGAUCGAUUUCGACCCCGAUGUGAGGAAAGAACAUGUCGCUUGCCUGUUGAAAACUGUACGUCUCGGUCUUGUACCGAUCAAAUAUUUCGUAGAAAAGAUCAAAGAUCAUUCAUAUGUUAAGGAUAACGACUCUUGUAAGCCAAUAAUCAUUGAAACACUGAAACAUCUGUACGAUCUAGAGAUGUCGGAAGAUAAAACCAGUGAUGGCAGUUUUCCUUUGGCGAAACCUCGCCUGCCGCACGAGAUUUUGUUCGUGAUCGGGGGAUGGAGUCGUUCGUCUCCUACGAAUAUCGUGGAGACUUACGAUACUCGCGCAGACCGCUGGACGAUCUGCGAUGUUGCCGAUAAAGUUCCAAGAGCGUAUCAUGGAAUGGUGACGUUGAAUCAGCUGAUCUACGUCAUAGGAGGUUUUGAUGGCGUGGAAUACUUCAGCAGUGUGCGAUGCUUUGACCCAAAAACCAAGGAAUGGACCGAAGUGGCACCAAUGAACUCAAAACGGUGUUACGUGAGUACAGCCGUAUUAGGGGACUAUGUUUACGCUCUCGGCGGAUUUAGCGGUCGUUACAGGCUGAACAGCGCGGAGCGAUAUGUCCCCGCCAAAAACCAGUGGAGCUUCAUAGAACCGAUGAUUCUGGAGAGAAGCGAUGCUGGCGCCACCUCAGUCAACGGGAAAUUGUAUGUCUGUGGCGGAUUCAAUGGAGGCGAGUGCUUGAACAGCGGCGAGGUUUAUGACCCGGAGACCAACCAGUGGACGUUCAUACCGCCGAUGAACAGCAGUCGGAGCGGACUAGGCGUUGUCGCCUAUGAGGGCGAGAUCUACGCCUUAGGCGGGUUUAACGGUGUUGCCCGGAUGAACUCGGCUGAGAAGUAUUGUCCUAGAACCAAUCAGUGGAGACCUAUCGCCGAGUUCUGUAGCCCAAGGAGCAAUUUUGCUGUCAUGGUGAUGGACGGGAUGAUAUUUGCAAUGGGCGGUUUCAACGGAGUAACAACCAUAUGUGCUGUGGAGUGCUAUGAUCCGGUCUGCGAUGAAUGGUUCGACGCAUCUGAUAUGAAUGUAUACAGAAGUGCACUCAGCGCAUGCGUAGUCAAAGAUUUGCCGAAUGUAGAAUACUAUGCACAUCAGAGACGAUAGAAUCGAAAAAUCACACUGUUGAAAAAAAAAAGAAAUAGAAAAGAAAGGUAGUGUCGUAAUUCUAUGUAAAAAUGAAAAUAAAAUGGAAAAAAGG